rnacentral:rRNA from 1 species
UACGGGGGGAGCAAGCGUUGUUCGGAUUUACUGGGCGUAAAGGGCGCGUAGGCGGUCGUGACAAGUCACUUGUGAAAUCUCCGGGCUUAACUCGGAACGGUCAAGUGAUACUGUCGGACUAGAGUACAGAAGGGGCAACUGGAAUUCUCGGUGUAGCGGUGAAAUGCGUAGAUAUCGAGAGGAACACCUGCGGCGAAGGCGGGUUGCUGGGCUGAUACUGACGCUGAGACGCGAAAGCGUGGGUAGCAAACAGG